UCCCUGGUGGACUAGUGGCUACCAUGCAGUGCGCUCAUCACCGUGGUCCGGGUUCGAUUCCUGGUCGGGGAA